GCCCUACGUCAGUCCGAGUGUCUUUCUGUGGGAUCGUAGGCCGAUAUCUGUGGUUAUGCAUCAGCUUUUUUCUGUUGGGAGGAGCAAGGUGAUGACGUUAUCUGUAGUUUUGUUCCUGGAGGAGAAUGACUCUGUGGCAGUAGUUCCACGCCUGUGUCUCAAAGGAGGACUUUGGCCACCACACAGCAUCACCAUCAUCCACAAAUCAGUUUGCCAGAACUUGUUCACCACCUGAAUACACCUGGGAGAGUGUCCCUUAUAAGCUCAUCAAGCAUACACGUGAGAGACUGGACGUAUGUAUCGUCAGAGGAGCGAAAAUCGUUCCAGCGUGGGCCCCUACCACCCCAAGAUGCACAUCUACACCUCAGCACCCUGUGGAUUGCAGCCCUGGUGGAUGGAGCAAGCACAGUACUCCAAGGCACCAUGUAGAGGAUUGCUACAUAGGGCAAGAAGGCAGAGGUAGGGGGAAGUUUCAGCUCUGCACAUGAAGGUAAGAAUGAAUAUUUUGCCAGACACUGCGAUUUGAGUUCUGAUUGUAAAAUAACCAGCUAUUUAGGACUGAAUAAUUAACUGUCUGUCUUUACUUUCAGAGCAUUUGGAGAUCAAGUGGCUGACUGAAGAGAAGGUCGAGCUGAGGGCACAGCUGGCUCUACAAUCAGGUCACUGGAGUCUGUCUAGGCCCUGGUCCCACCAGCUGUGAGCCAAUCAAACAGCUAUUUGAUCAGACGCAACUCCACUGUGUGCCAAUCACAGGCUUGUUUGAUCAGACCCGUGCUGUUUCAUGUGUUCCAGGCAGAAGCAGUGGAUGACAGAGCCAGGAGAAGGAGACUGCUUGGUGGUGGUGGUGGAGGGGGCAACACUGUAAUUCCUGUCAGCCUCAGAGAAAAACUUUCUUAGGCUAGACUCACUUAUAUAUGUCUAGAUUGUUAUAAACCAGAGAUAGUGCGGCCUAGACUGGUUCAGCGGUCUAAGCUGCUGCCUUUCUGCUGCAUGUACUGCUACAGGAGGUUUGAUGCCAACUGGGAUCGAUUCCAGACUACUGCAAUUCAAGCACACUUGCCUUUUCUCUUCCCAGUCAAUGAAAUCAUAAAAUACCCCAAUAAUGUCACGGAAGGCAACUAAGACUGUAGUUUGAUCAAUCUCCCAUCAAUCAAUUAUUACAUUUUUCCGAGUAUUUAUGAGUUAAUGUUUGUAUCUAUAGGAAUUUGCAGUGUUUUAACAUGUAACCUUUUUUAUGUUUGCGGCACUGUAUUGGGUGUGUGCUGUUGUCACAUGAGACAUGUGACAGCUCUCUAUGUCCAACCCACCCACUCCACCUGAUCCUCAUCUCCCCUCAAUUAACACAGCUAACGAGAUGGCUGCAACGAUUGACCAACCAGCAAAUAAAAGGAUUUCUGAAAUCUCAUUAGGGAAGGGAAAAGAAAGACAGAGGGAACUACCCAGCCCAGAAAUGAGGAAAGCCCUGCCUGCAGUGUGCGGGCCGGUAGAUCGCUGGAGAUCACACAAAUGUUGAUUUGUUGGAUAUAAGGCGAGUACCUGUCCUAUGUGCUCCUUUAAACUAAUUACUGGUUAAAAGCCGACCUUGGGUGCUCUCUCUUUUCCCCACAAGAGGAACUGGUGACGCAAGGCAGAAGACAGUGACUUCAUUACGUGAGCCCUGCUGCCCUCUGCCAGGUUGUGCCUAUCCCUAAAGAUACAGUACCAACUUCUACAGCCCUGCUUCUUCGACCCUGGAAUACUGGAUGGUCAAUUUUAAUAUUUUUCAAUCAUUUUUGAUACAGACUCUGCUCACUGUUUUUUUUUUUAGGAACUUUUAUACAUUUAUUUAUAAAUUGUUCCAAAUGAUCCAUUGGUCUGUAUGUGUGGCAAAAUCCAGAAUAGAACCUGCUUGGUGUCAUGUAGUGUUAACUGAUUAGUAGAGGUUGUAGUCCUCUAGAACCUAGGUGGUGUAGUCAGCAACCCUCAAGUGACAUAUACUGUAUCUUUAAAUAAAAAUCACAAUGCAAACACAAGUACAUACACAUCCACACACUUCUCUGCUUUCUGUAAAAGCAGUUUUCCUCUCUCUCUAAUGUUCCUCUCUCUUUCACUCACUCUCCCCACAUAUUAAAGGCAGCAGAUUUACAAAAUACAGCUAAUAUAGGGUAUCACCACUGUAAACGUUUUUUUCUUAGCAAAAUCUCUGAGAGCCUCAUGCAUAUAUUUCAGAAAAAUUGUAGAGUACUCAUACCUGGUAGUGUUCAUAAUCACAGUUAUAUCUCUGACAAGUAAUAAGUAAACAACCAAUUUGUAAACAUGCAGGACUUGUGCUACAAUGGACCCUUCCAAGCUAUUAACAGUGUUCAAACUAAAGUAAAAAAUAAUUUCAAAUAUUACUUAUAGUAUUAAUUAGUUGAUAUUUUGUAUCUGUAAUUUUAUUUUGACUACUUUUAGUUUUACUUAAAGCUCGCCUUACAUUAUCUUUAUCAGUAUUCUGAACCAUGAAUACUGAUAACCAAAAGGCUCUGUAGUCCGCUGUACCAAUAGCAGAAUUAUUCGACUCCUCUAUGGUAAAGGACUGGUGCAAUUACAGGGUAUGCAAUUUCUCCUUUGUGCUUGCCUAUUUAUUUCCUGCAAACAUACCUUCUGUUCCAGUAUAGUCCAGCUGAUUGUAAGUAGUUACAAAAAUAUGGGAGUGAAGUGAUGUGAACUAGACAAUGUCUAUUACCAAUACACAUACACUCACCUAAAGGAUUAUUAGGAACACCAUACUAAUACUGUGUUUGACCCCCUAUCGCCUUCAAAACUGCCUUAAUUCUACGUGGCAUUGAUUCAACAAGGUGCUGAAAGCAUUCUUUAGAAAUGUUAGCCCAUAUUGAUAGGAUAGCAUCUUGCAGUUGAUGGAGAUUUGUGGGAUGCACAUCCAGGGCACGAAGCUCCUGUUCCACCACAUCCCAAAGGUGCUCUAUUGGGUUGAGAUCUGGUGACUGUGGGGGCCAUUUCAGUACAGUGAACUCAUUG
ensembl:lncRNA